rnacentral:lncRNA from 7 species
GGGGCUGUGCAGGGACUGUAAAGGCGUAUGGGUCUAUAAGGAGCUGAGGGGUACUCUAGGGGGGAUCUGGGGCUGUGGUGAGCCAUCGGAGGAUUUGUGGCUAUAGGUGGCUGUGGGGAGGUUAUGGGUGGGGUGGUAUAUAGCCAGGCUGCCCAGGGAGGUUGUGGAUUGUCCUUCUCUGGAGAUAUUCCAAACCCAGCUGGAUGCCUACAGUACAGCCUGCUGUAUGGAGCCUGUUUUGCGGCGGGGGGGUAGGGUUCCAUGAUCUCUAGAGGUCCCUUCCAUCUCCUACGGUUCUGUGUUUGUGUGAUUGUAAUCGUUGCUUCUUGCAGCAGUAGAGUGUUUCAGAAGAGAGAAAAAGAUGGCGGCGGUGAACUGGCUUUCUGUGGAUGGUAAAGCUGUGCUGAGAACUGGGCUGACUAUUGCAGCUGAAAUUGCGUGCCAAGAGUGCAGGCGCAGUGGAAUAACUUUUCCCCGCAGGUUGAGCUUGUGUAAGGUAGGUGUCCUUGCUAGGUGAGCUUCUGCUUUAAAGCAUCAAGUUGUAAUUUGAAAAGUAAGGUUGCCAGUUCUUUUUUUCCCCAAGUGAUUUUUUAGCCGGGAGAGAUUGGAGGUGCUGUUUGGUGAUGGAGGACGGAGAG